GCUGGGCAUGGUGGCACAUGCCUGUAAUCCCAGCUACUUGGGAGGCUGAGGCAGGAGGAUUGCUUGAACCCAGGAGGCAGAGGUUGCAGUGAGACAAGAUUGCAUCACUGGACUCCAGCCUGGACAACAGAGCAAGACCCUGUCUCAA
rnacentral:SRP_RNA from 1 species